UAGGGAAUCUUCCACAAUGGACGCGAGUCUGAUGGAGCAACGCCGCGUGAGUGAAGAAGGUCUUCGGAUCGUAAAACUCUGUUGUUAGAGAAGAACACGAGUGAGAGUAACUGUUCAUUCGAUGACGGUAUCUAACCAGCAAGUCACGGCUAACUACGUGCCGG
rnacentral:rRNA from 1 species